UUUCGUUUAAACCAAUAUUGGCCAAUAUAAAAAACAAAAUGUGUCAAUUCAUUUGAAGCCAAUGAUACUUGGCCAUGUCUGAGAGUGUGGAGUGGGUCCCCAUGAUUGUCAAGAAAAAAAAAAGAAUGCACUCACAGAAACCUAAACUAGAAAUUUAAGACCAACGGUAAUGGCAAGUACGUGUGCAUGACAAAUGUGUGUGUGUGUGUGCAGAAAGAAACACAUGCAGCAAAAGGAAAUGCAACUAAAGAAACUCAGCCAGUCAGCCAGCCAUCGAAUAAAACAGGAAACCAAAUAGUCAGCCUUCAAAUACAUCUAUUAUAUAUAUAAACUGCAAAACAACAAUAACGUUUUAAUUGCUAUCUAAAAAAAACACAAAAAAGUGAAAAAUAAAAAAAAAAAAUUAUCAAAUAAAUUUGUCACUAACAACAUUUUAAACAAUUACACACUACCCACACUAACACUAACUGUACGAAGUCAAGCACACAGACAUGCUAAAUAAUAAAUGUGUGGAAAAUUUAUGGAACAUGAUAAAAAUUUGUUAAAACAAAAAAAAAACAAUUCAGCCAUUAAACAGACAAACAACUGCAUACAAAGUAGUUUUUAUAUACUAUAAAUGAAAUAAAACAAAAAACAACAACUCUAGAAAUGAUGGCCAAAUCUAAAGUAAAUAAAAUAUAUGAACCAUGUAAUCAACAACAGAACCAGAAACACCAGCAGCAACAACAACAAACAGGAUUACAAAGUGACAAACAACAACAACGACGACACAACAACAACAUUGGUCAUUAAUUAUAGUGUGUGAAUUGUUUAAAAAAAAACAACAACAAACAAACAAAUAAAUAAAAAAACACAUAAACAAAAACAAAAGGUUGAAAGCCAACAUUAACAAAAACUACCUAUAUUUAGAACAACAUCAAACAAACGAUAACGGAACAAUUGAACAAAAUAAUAACAACAACAACAAUAUCAGAGGUAAAAACACAAGCAGCAAAAAUAAUAACAAAUAAAUUAACCAAACAAUUAAAAAAACAUAAACACACAGAGCAAAAAAAUAUUGUAGAAAAAGAAAACAAACAAUAAACGAAUGAACGAGCAGCAAUGAACAGAAAAAAAAUACAAGUGAUUUCUACCUUUUGAAAUCAAAAACACAAACAUUCAAAGUGAACAAAACGAAACACACACACACUAACAGCAACAACAACAGCAACAAAAUAACACGAAUCCAGCACCCCAAAGGCUUUUUUUAAUACAAACAUAUUAACCCACAUACACACACACACAUCUCAUUGCAAUAUUGGUGGAAAAUAUAAACGAAAAAUAAAAACGACAACCAGCAA